CCUACGGGUGGCUGCAGUGAGGAAUAUUGGUCAAUGGACGCAAGGCUGAACCAGCCAUGCCGCGUGCAGGAAGACGGCUCUAUGAGUUGUAAACUGCUUUUGUGCUAGGGUAAACGCAGAUACGCGUAUCUGUCUGAAAGUAUCGUACGAAUAAGGAUCGGCUAACUCCGUGCCAGCAGCCGCGGUAAUACGGAGGAUUCAAGCGUUAUCCGGAUGUGUUGGGGUUAAAGGGUGCGUAGGCGGUCGGGUAAGUUAGAGGUGAAAUCCCGAGGCUCAACUUCGGAAUUGCCUCUGAUACUGUCUGGCUAGAGAGUAGUAGCGGUAGGCGGAAUGUAUGGUGUAGCGGUGAAAUGCUUAGAGAUCAUACAGAACACCGAUUGCGAAGGCAGCUUACCAAGCUACUUCUGACGUUGAGGCACGAAAGCGUGGGGAGCAAACAGGAUUAGAUACCCGGGUAGUC
rnacentral:rRNA from 1 species